rnacentral:rRNA from 1 species
ACUAUGAUUCCCUUAGUAACGGCGAGUGAACAGGGAGAAGCCCAAAUUUGUAAUCUGGCACUUUUUACAAGUGUCCGAGUUGUAAUUUGUAGAACUGUUAUCCGUGCUGGACCAUGUACAAGUCUGUUGAAAAGCAGCAUCGUUGAAGGUGAAAAUCCUGUAGAUGAUAUGGACUACCAGUACUCUUGUGAUACGGUUUCUAAGAGUCGAGUUGUUUGGGAAUGCAGCUCAAAGUGGGUGGUAAAUUCCAUCUAAGGCUAAAUAUAAGUGAGAGACCGAUAGCAAACAAGUACCGUGAGGGAAAGAUGAAAAGAACUUUGAAAAUAGAGUUAACAGUACGUGAAAUUGCUGAAAGGUAAACGUUUGAAGUUAGUUUUGUAUUCGUUGGAUCAGCUUCGCAAGGAGUGUAUUCUGAUGAUAAGCAAGUCAACAUCAGUCUAUGAGUGUUGGAGAAGGGUUUUGAGAAUGUAGCAAUUUAAUUGUGUUAUAGCUUGAGACUUGGAUACAAUGCUUUGGAUUGAGGAACGCGUAGUAAGCUUUGAGCGGAUUCGAAAGGAUCUCCUUACUAUGGAUGUUGGUGAAAUAACUUUAAGCGACC